CUGCGCAUGUGCGCGGUGUGGCUCCAGGGAACGUAGGUCCCGCGCCUGUGAUAAGUAAGGUUGGAUUUUCUCUUCCCUGAGGUGAAGGAUGCCCGGAGGCCUCGGCAGGACCGUGCGGAAACGGGCCUUCUGCCCAAAAGAUGCUGCUUCUCUCCUUAUUCUUUCCCCUCAGAAUCUCGCUGUCUCCUUCCAACCACCUGUGGUCGGCAUCCCCGCGUUGUCACUGCGACGCAGAGGCGAGCGAGGUGGCGGGAAGCACCCGCGGGGCGGGGAGGGACCCUGCGGGCGCGGACUCCACACCAAGCCUCUGCUCAGCGUCACCCCGCUUGCUGUGUCCUCGCAGGUCGCAGCUUCAUGGCCUGAUGCCUUCAGGAAGUAUUUUGAAGUCAUCGUGGCUGUGGAUUGGGGGAUUUCUUGUUUCCACUGACCUGUGAGGCCGCGCACGUGGAGGGAGGCACCCCGGGUCCUCCGGCACUGUCCGGCCUCGCCUGUGUCCCUAGUAGCAGUGGGCAUUUCCAGACGGUGCAGCUUGUGGCUAAAGUGACAGGAAGAUGUAGGAGCUUUCAGUCUUGGAUGAGGAUUCGAACUGAAGGGCUUAGGCCCAGCUGUCUUGGAGCAAAACAUCUGUUGUGGGGUGAGAAGGGAAAGGAGGGGUGAGGGUGCAGGGGCCCUCCUAGGAGGACAUCGGACCUGUUGGGCCGAGACCUCAUUAGAGAUCUAGAGCACGGAUGGGAGGAGCAGAGGCUCGAUUUGUGUCCUGUUCAGACUCCCACAGGCUGGGUGAUGGUGGGAGAUUUGUGCCCAUUCAGAUGUGGCGGCAGAGGAGGGCAAGGCCGAAGGAGCAGACAGCACCGCUUCUUGGGGAGUUGUGAAGGCAUCAUGCGGAGGGCCGAGCUUAGCAGCCAAGUGGAGGACAGCACCCUCCAUGCCUGGAUUCGUUACUCGCUCGUUCUCGAUGUUGAGCUGCUGGCAUAUUGCAGCACAACUAGAGAUGUACGGAUGCCCCCAUCUUGAUCUUACAGAAUCAGAGGUGCAGCCGCAAGAAAGCUACACCCUCUCGGUUUUCUCUGCUCUGCCAACACUAGUGGAAUAUGAUCACAUCCCAGGGAUCAGUGUCAUUUAGGGAUGUGACUAUGGGCUUCACUCAAGAGGAGUGGCAUCAUCUGGACCCUGCUCAGAGGACCCUGUAGAGGAAUGUGAUGCUGGAGAACUACAGCCACCUUGUCUCAGUAGGGUAUUGCAUUCCUAAACCAGAAGUGAUCCUCAAAUUGGAGACAGGCAAGGAGCCAUGGAUAUUAGAGGAAAAAUUUCGAAGCCAGAGUCAUCUGGGUGAGUUAGUGCCAGAUGGAAUUUAAAGAAUUAAUUAAUACCAGUAGAAACUAUUCAAGAAUGAAGUUCAAUGAGUUUAACAAAGGUGGAAAAUGUUUCUGUGAUGAAAGCAUGAAAUAAUUCAUUUUGAAGAGGAACCUUCUGAAUAUAAUAACAAUGGGAACAGCUUCUGGCUGAAUGAAGACCUCAUUUGGCAUCAGAAGAUUAAAAAUUGGGAGCAACCUUUUGAAUACAAUGAAUGUGGGAAAGCUUUCCCUGAGAAUUCACUCUUCCUUGUACAUAAGAGAGCUUACACAGGACAGAAAACAUGCAAAUAUACUGAACAUGGGAAAACCUGUUAUAUGUCAUUUUUUAUUACUCAUCAGCAAACACAUCCAAGAGAGAACCACUAUGAAUGUAAUGAAUGUGGAGAAAGUAUCUUUGAGGAAUCCAUUCUCUUUGAACAUCAGAAUGUUUACCCAUUCAGCCAGAAUUUAAAUCCCACUCUAAUUCAGAGAACCCACUCAAUUAGCAAUAUUAUUGAAUAUAAUGAAUGUGGAACCUUUUUCAGUGAAAAAUUAGCCCUUCAUUUACAACAGAGAACACAUCCAGGGGAAAAACCUUAUGAAUGUCAUGAAUGUGGAAAAACCUUCACCCAGAAGUCAGCCCACACAAGACAUCAGAGAACACACACAGGGAAAACCCUAUGAAUGUCACGGAUGUGGGAAGACCUUCUAUAAGAAUUCAGACCUCAUUAGAAAUCAAAGAAUUCACACAGGGGAGAGACCUUACAGAUGUCAUGAAUGGAGAAAUCCUUCAGUGAAAAGUCAUCCCUUACUCAAAAUCAGAGAACACACGUGGGGAGAAAUCAUGAAUGUCAUGAAUGUGGGAAAACCUCGUUUAAGUCAGUUCUAACUGUGCAUCAGAAAACACACAGGGGAGAAGCCCUAUGAAUGCUAUGCAUGUGGCAACACCUUUCUCAGAAAAUCCGACCUCAUUAAACAUCAGAGAAUUCACACAGGAGAAAAACCUUAUGAAUGUAAUGAAUGUGGGAAGUCAUUCUCCGAGAAGUCAACCCUUACUAAACAUCUAAGAACACACAGAUGGGAAAUCUUAUGCAUGUAUUCAAUGUGGAAAAUUUUUCUGCUGCUACUACAGUUUCACAGAACAUCUGAGAAGACACACAGGGGAGAAACCUUUUGGAUGUAAUGAAUGUGGGAAAACCUUCCAUCAGAAGUUGGCCCUAAUUGUUCACCAGAGAACUCAUAUAAGACAGAAACCCUAUGGAUGUAAUGAAUGUGGAAAAUCA
ensembl:lncRNA ZNF37BP zinc finger protein 37B, pseudogene